rnacentral:rRNA from 1 species
AGCGAACGCUGGCGGCAGGCCUAACACAUGCAAGUCGAACGAAGUCUUCGGACUUAGUGGCGGACGGGUGAGUAACACGUGGGAACGUACCUCUUGGUUCGGAACAACUCAGGGAAACUUGAGCUAAUACCGGAUGAGCCCUUAGGGGGAAAGAUUUAUCGCCGAAAGAGCGGCCCGCGUUAGAUGAGCUAGUUGGUGAGGUAAAGGCUCACCAAGGCUACGAUCUAUAGCUGGUCUGAGAGGAUGAUCAGCCACACUGGGACUGAGACACGGCCCAGACUCCUACGGGAGGCAGCAGUGGGGAAUCUUGCGCAAUGGGCGAAAGCCUGACGCAGCCAUGCCGCGUGAAUGAUGAAGGUCUUAGGAUUGUAAAAUUCUUUUACCAGGGACGAUAAUGACGGUACCUGGAGAAAAAGCCCCGGCUAACUUCGUGCCAGCCGCCGCAGUAACAC